rnacentral:rRNA from 1 species
GACGAACGCUGGCGGCGUGCCUAAUACAUGCAAGUAGAACGCAGUUGCGAACUGGUGAGUAACGCUUAGUUAACUGCCUCAUACCGGGGGAUAACUAUUGGAAACACUAGCUAAUACCGCCUACUUUGGGUUUGACCGGCGUGGUAUUAGCUAGUUGGUUAGGUAAAGGCUCACCAAGGCGACGAUACAUAGCCGACCUGAGAGGGUGAUCGUCCACACUGGAACUGAGACACGGCCCAGACUCCUACGGGAGGCAGCAGUGGGGAAUAUUGCGCAAUGGGCGAAAGCCUGAUGCAGCCAUGCCGCGUGUGUGAAGAAGGUCUUCGGAUUGUAAAGUACUGUCAGCGGAGAGGCGGUACCCGCAGAAGAAGCACCGGCUAACUACGUGCCAGCAGCCGCGGUAAUUC